rnacentral:rRNA from 1 species
AACGAACGCUGGCGGCAUGCCUAACACAUGCAAGUCGAACGAACCCUUCGGGGUGAGUGGCGCACGGGUGCGUAACGCGUGGGAACCUGCCUUUAGGUUCGGAAUAACUCAGAGAAAUUUGAGCUAAUACCGGAUAAUGUCUUCGGACCAAAGAUUUAUCGCCUUUAGAUGGGCCCGCGUUGGAUUAGAUAGUUGGUGGGGUAAUGGCCUACCAAGUCGACGAUCCAUAGCUGGUCUGAGAGGAUGAUCAGCCACACUGGGACUGAGACACGGCCCAGACUCCUACGGGAGGCAGCAGUGGGGAAUAUUGGACAAUGGGCGAAAGCCUGAUCCAGCAAUGCCGCGUGAGUGAUGAAGGCCUUAGGGUUGUAAAGCUCUUUUACCAGGGAUGAUAAUGACAGUAC